GACGUAGGGGGCCAGCGUUGUUCGGAAUUACUGGGUGUAAAGGGUUCGUAGGCGGUUUGGCAAGUCGGGAGUGAAAUCUCUGGGCUCAACUCAGAGACUGCUUCCGAAACUGCUGUGCUGGAGUGUGGGAGAGGCGCGUGGAAUUGCAGGUGUAGCGGUGAAAUGCGUAGAUAUCUGCAGGAACACCCGUGGCGAAAGCGGCGCGCUGGACCACUACUGACGCUGAGGAACGAAAGCUAGGGGAGCAAACAGG
rnacentral:rRNA from 1 species